AAAGCAUGCCUUUUCUCACCUGAACGCUGCAUUCUCCAACGCAAAGCUUACCCCUCUGAGCUCAACCAUUAAUGGCGGUGGAAUGACCUUCCUAUUUAGGAAUGCCAAUCCUUCCUCCGGUCUCCGCCCCUUUGCCUCCGCCGCUGCCGCCGCCGUUUCGAAUAUCCAUGACAUCGCCCCCCCGUUCCCUCCAGAUUCCCUCCGAUCCCUCAGACAAAGUCCGCCGCUUCUCGCCACCGAUAGAGCGGGAGGAACCUUCCAUCUUCGUUGUUCUCCUUUGUCCCUGCCUCGCUCUCCUGUCUCUUGUCCUCAUCGUCGCUUCCAUCGUCCUUACUAUCAAGCUCCAACUAUACUGCCACCUCCCUAUCUCUCAUCUCAUCUCCCGCCAUCGUUGCCACUCCUCCUGAAACCAACUAGGGUUUUCUCCUCCUCUUCAGAAUCCGAUUCGGAAUCGGAUAACUCGAUAUCUCCGCCGCCGCCGCCGCCGCCGCCGAACUCCAACGAUGUGGAUAGGAUCUGUAAGGUGAUUGACGAGCUCUUCUCGUCCGACCGCAACAUGGAGGUGGUGCUCGACGAGAUCGGAGUCCAGAUCGAAUCAUCCCUUGUUGUCGCUGUUCUGGACCGGUUCCGCCAUGCCCAUCGUCCCGCAUAUCGCUUCUUCCGGUGGGCUGCCGCCCGGCCAGGCUUCUUGCACGACUCAACCACUUGCAAUAAAAUGCUCAGCGUCCUCGGCAAGACGCGGCAGUUUGAGACUAUGGUGGCCCUACUGGAGGAGAUGGGGAAGGACGCCGCUCUUCUAUCCAUGGACGCCUUUAAGAUAUCGGUUAAGGCCUUUGCUGCGGCCCGCGAGAUGAAGAAGUGUAUAGGCAUUUUCAAAUUGAUAAAGAAGUAUGAUUUCCAUGUCGGAUUGGACACUUUCAACUGCUUGAUUGAUGCUCUUUCAAAGGCCAAGCUCGCGAAGGAAGCACAACAAUUGUUAGACAAAAUGAAGGAUCAGUAUCAUCCUGAUAUCCACACUUACACAGCGCUGCUUUAUGGUUUCUGCAAGAUUAAGGACUUGGCUGAGGCUGGUAGAUUAUGGAAUGAGAUACUUGAUAGUGGAUUCAAGCCAGACAUUGUCUCCCACAACACUAUGCUUGAAGGCUUGAUUCGAGGGCAUCGGAGGUCUGAGGCGAUCAAGCUGUUAGAGCUCAUGAAGGCCAAAGGCCCUAAGCCAAAUACCCGAACUUAUACUAUUUUAAUUCAAGAUCUCUGUAAGGCGGGAAAGAUGGAACAGGCUGUUAGCUGUUUUGAUGAAAUGUUGGCUGCUUGUUGCUCGCCAGAUGUUGCGACCUACACAUGUUUAAUAGUUGGGUUUGGAAAUGCUCGGCAGAUGGCUAAAGUUUCAAGCUUGCUCGCAGAGAUGAGUCAAAAGGGAUGCCCGCCAGAUGCUCGAACUUAUAAUGCUCUGAUAAAACUGUUGACGAACCGGAACAUGCCAGAUGAUGCCGUAAGAAUAUACAAGAAGAUGAUAAAAAAUGGGUUUGAGCCUACGAUUCACACUUACAAUAUGUUGAUGAAGUCUUACUUCCAUGGGAAUAAUUACAAGAUGGGUUGUGCAGUUUGGGAGGAAAUGUUAGGCAAGGGGAUUUGUCCUGAUGUUAAUUCUUUUACGGUCUUUAUUGGUGGACAUAUACGUCAUGGAAGGCCUGAAGAGGCAUACAAAUACAUAGAGGAGAUGAUUAACAAAGGGAUGAGUGUCCCCCAGGUGGACUAUAAUAAGUUAGCCGCUGAUUUCUCUAGGGCUGGGAGGCCUGAUGUUCUAAGCGAGCUUGCACAAAAAAUGAAUUUUACAGGAAAGUUUGAUGCAUCAAACACAUUGAACUAUUGGUCUGAGAGAAUGAAGAAGAGAGUUAAAAGGAGAGGACCUUGUCAAUCUGGGCGUGGACUUGUCUGAAUUAUUUUUUCAAUCAUUCUUUAUUAUUUUUGAAUGCCUCACUUCCAGGUGGUAGUGACGAUCUCCCUCAUAGAUCGAUCAUCAGCAUUUUUAUGAAGAAGAAGAUUGUUUACCCAUCUACCAGUGAAUACUAAUGUUACAGCAUCCAAAGAAGAUUGUUUCUUACCCCAACUACCAGAUGAAUACUAAUGUUACAGUAUCCACUGCGACCUCAACGCCCAUCUCAGUACAACAUACUACACCCGCACAGUCACUGACCUUAUCACUCCCCAUCCCCUAUCGAUACCACUCCCUUCUACUCUUAUUAGCUUCAUCAGGCAGCAACACCACUACCAGUCAUGUCAGCCAAGUCCAUCAGCUAUUGCUGAGAUUGGUAUCUCAAAUACUAUGAGACACUCCUACAUCGAGCCAAAUGGGAAUAUUUGCCGUAUAAAAAUAAUUUUGGCGGCUGCUGGAACGUAAUCAACAGAUCAGGCAAAAUAUUGAGAUUAGCAGUGCCACUCGCCUGUGUGAUAUAUUCAUGAACAUAUGCAAGUCAGGAUAGAGACGCCUCUGGAAUGGGAAGGAGGUUAGGCUGAGUUAUGCAAAGUCUGUGUCUCCUCUGUUUAUGUUUGUAAGAGGGAGCAAAGCAAGCAGAAUCAGACAAUAGACUGUGGGGACAUGGGUAGUUUCUUUACACAUUGGAGGUUCGGUUCUACAUACUCAUUAUCAGUGGAGAUUGGUAAGGUGUAAUCACUGUAUAA